rnacentral:lncRNA from 1 species
GCAUUUCAUAUUCUAUUUAUUUAUACAGAAUAGCACUAUAUUUCAUGCUUUAUGGCAUAAUGACUAGUUACAAAGUAAUUUAUAACAUUUUUCAAUACAGAUACAUUAACUUGAAGUGCAAAUAAAGAUUUCCCUAAUUUUUGUGCUAUUUUCACAUUUUUUGAAGAUGUGAGAAAAAUAUUUCUUCUCACAAGUGAAAUAGCUAUUCUCAGCAAAUGAUUGGUUGAAAUUUAAUUAUUAUGUCAAAUUUUUUUGUUUCUUCAGAAUUUUCUAUUGUGACAUCAUGAAAAAGAUUACCAUGUUUGAUAACGUCACAAAAACAAACUGAAUUUCUUCAAAUUUUUGAAAUGAAGGAUAAAAAUCAUUAGAAAAUCUAUAUUUCUUCCCUCACUUCCUUCCGCCUCUACCAAAUGUACAAAUAAUAAUCAUAGUUUUGGCAGUUACAAUUUUUAAUCAAAUAAUUUUGAAUUAAUUGAAUCUAAAUUCAAAAUAAUUGUUAAGGAAAAUCAUUAUUUUGAAGGAUAGGAAUAUGUAAAAAGAAAUGAAAAACAAUUCGGAAAACAGUUGAAGUUUCAAAAGGUAAAUCAACAAGAAUCAUUAGUUAACAAAUUAUCACAAAC